UACGAAGGGGGCUAGCGUUGUUCGGAAUCACUGGGCGUAAAGCGCACGUAGGCGGAUCUUUAAGUCAGAGGUGAAAUCCCAAGGCUCAACCUCGGAACUGCCUUCGAUACUGCGGGUCUCGAGUCCGGGAGAGGUGAGUGGAAUUCCUAGUGUAGAGGUGAAAUUCGUAGAUAUUAGGAAGAACACCAGUGGCGAAGGCGGCUCACUGGCCCCGGUACUGACGCUGAGGCGGCGAAAAGCGUGGGGAGCAAACAGG
rnacentral:rRNA from 1 species